GGAUCCUUGGUCUAGUGGUCAGGACUACUGCUUUACACUCCUCUACAAGCCGUGUACGCAGUCGAUCGCCGGUUCAAUCCCGGCAGGAUUCA